ACCGACGGGAGCUUGCUCCCUUAGGUCAGCGGCGGACGGGUGAGUAACACGUGGGUAACCUGCCUGUAAGACUGGGAUAACUCCGGGAAACCGGGGCUAAUACCGGAUGCUUGAUUGAACCGCAUGGUUCAAUCAUAAAAGGUGGCUUUUAGCUACCACUUGCAAGAUUGGACCCGCGGCGCAUUUAGCUAGUUGUUGAGGUAACGGCUCACCAAGGCGACGAUGCGUAGCCGACCUGAGAGGGUGAUCGGCCACACUGGGACUGAGACACGGCCCAGACUCCUACGGGAGGCAGCAGUAGGGAAUCUUCCGCAAUGGACGAAAGUCUGACGGAGCAACGCCGCGUGAGUGAUGAAGGUUUUCGGAUCGUAAAACUCUGUUGUUAGGGAAGAACAAGUACCGUUCGAAUAGGGCGGUACCUUGACGGUACCUAACCAGAAAGCCACGGCUAACUACGUGCCAGCAGCCGCGGUAAUACGUAGGUGGCAAGCGUUGUCCGGAAUUAUUGGGCGUAAAGCGCGCGCAGGCGGUUUCUUAAGUCUGAUGUGAAGCCCCCGGCUCAACCGGGGAGGGUCAUUGGAACUGGGGACUUGAGUGCAGAAGAGGAGAGUGGAUUCCACGUGUAGCGGUGAAUGCGUAGAGAUGUGGAGGACACCAGUGGCGAAGGCGACU
rnacentral:rRNA from 1 species